GACGAACGCUGGCGGCGUGCUUAACACAUGCAAGUCGAACGGAAAGGCCCUGCUUUUGUGGGGUGCUCGAGUGGCGAACGGGUGAGUAACACGUGAGUAACCUGCCCUUGACUUUGGGAUAACUUCAGGAAACUGGGGCUAAUACCGGAUAGGAGCUCCUGCUGCAUGGUGGGGGUUGGAAAGUUUCGGCGGUUGGGGAUGGACUCGCGGCUUAUCAGCUUGUUGGUGGGGUAGUGGCUUACCAAGGCUUUGACGGGUAGCCGGCCUGAGAGGGUGAACGGCCACAUUGGAACUGAGAUACGGCCCAGACUCCUACGGGAGGCAGCAGUGGGGAAUAUUGCACAAUGGGCGGAAGCCUGACGCAGCAACGCCGCGUGCGGGAUGACGGCCUUCGGGUUGUAAACCGCUUUUGUACGGAACGAAAAGGCGCUGACUAAUACCUGGAGCUGAUGACGGUACCGUAAGAAUAAGCACCGGCUAACUACGUG
rnacentral:rRNA from 1 species